CCCAGGAGCGCAGCGGAUACAGCUGGAGAAGGGCAGGUCCAGUCUUGCUGCUUAAGCUGGGAGACUCCAGUGACAUUUAACCUUCUCUGCAGCCUGAUCAGCAGGCAGCUGGAGGCAGAUGCUUAAUGAAUAGUCCAGGAUCAACUGCUGCCUGCUGAAGUGGUAGUUUGUGAAGCAAGGGAGCAUCCUGGGGAAGAAGCCCUGAGCUGGGAGAAGAAUUCCCCAGAUCAGGAUGAAGUUGGCCUUCCCUGCUCAGAGUGGUCGGCGGCGAUAGAAGGAACAAGCUCUGUGCUAAUGAAACCCUAUCUUGGUUUAAUCUAAAGAGGGAUUUCAAUUAUGAAAUAAUGCAUUUGUUCAGUGACCCGACAACAUGGAGCACAGUUGGACGGCUCACCCCGAGGGCCAUCCCCGGAGAGAUCAAAUCUGGUGACUUCACCACAAGCAACUACCAGAAGGUACUUGUCUCUGACUGUGGUACAGCGCUUGCUUUGAUGGGUAAUUGGGUAUACAGCAGGGAGCAGAAGCAUGGGGAAGAGAGACAGUGGUGCAUGCCGUUUUUCUUCACCAGGAAUUGCUUCAGAUUUUGACUGGUCACCACUUUGACUCCUGGAAACUCCUAUUUAUAUCAACAGAGCCACCGAAGUCAAUUGUGAGAGUUGUAAGAGUCGCUAAAAGAGAGGUAACAUGUGUCACUGGUUAGGGGGGGAGCCUGGACAUGGAAGACUUGGGAUCAAUUCCCUCCUCUGCCACAUUCUACCUUUGUGACCUUGGGCAAGUCACUUAAAGCCAGAUCCAAAAAGGUGCUUUGGUAGAAUUUAGGUGCCAAAGUUCAUGUUGAUGCCUGAGAGGCUCUGGGGGCACCUAUACACAUGUAGUGGGAUUGCUCCGACAUGCGGUAAUUACAGCACGUUAGAGCAGUCUCAGUUCAUCGAUACACGAGAUACUGGAUUAAUGGAUACGUGAGACGCUGAUACACAAGAUGCUGGAAUCUGCUGGAGUGCAGUAAUUACUGCAGACUCCAUCAUCUUGUGCAUCAGCAUCCCAAUGGUGAAAAAUGGUGAUGGGUUUGCUUUAGUUAAAGCUUGUUUGACAAGCUUCAGUUAAAGCACCCCCAUUACCAUUUUACACAAGAUACUCUUAGAGUCACUCUGAUUAAAGCACCCCUCCUGGACCAUGUGUAUAAAUGCCCGGGGUGCUUCAAUUUUUGCCAAUAAAGUUACCUUCUAAUUUGGGACAUCUAAUUUGGGAAAUCCUUCACCAUGAGUUAGGCACUGAGACACCCAGCUCACAAGAUGGUGGCAUCUCUGGGCCCAGGAUGUAGCAGAAGCUUAGGUGUCUACAUCCCCUGAGGGUCUGCUCUGGUAUAUGUGCUCAGAUUAUGCCUUACAAACCCUGACAGAGUGGAGUUGUGCACACAGCACAAGAGCCACAGCACCCUUCGUUCAAAGGCACCAGUAGCAGUGGUGGUGCUAGUGCCUACCUUGGAGACAAUAUGCUAGUGGUUAGAGUAUGUCCCAGCAAGUGAGAUGCCCAGGUUUCAUGCCAAACUCAGUCUGAGGGCAUAUAAACCCAUGCUUCUCCCCACCUCGCUGUAGGGCAGGGCUGAAAUGGGUGGAUUUCCCAUCCUUCCUGCUGAAACUGGGUCCACUUAGCACCCAGGCAGUACCUUCUGGUACUCGUUUGUGGUGAAGUCACUGGAUCUGAUCUUUCCAGUGAUGGCCCUCACUGUGCUCCAUGUUGUCGGGUCACUGAACAAAUGCAUAAUUUCAUAACUUGCGGUACAGAUGAUCUUAUUUAUUAGACCGACUAGAUGUUUACAAAAAGGUUUUUUUUGCAAACAUCUAGUUGGUCUAAUAAAAGAGACCACCUCUACCAUGAGUUCUGAUUCCUUUUUCCUCUAGACCAAUACGGCUGCAACCUAGAUAUUGAAUUUCAUAACUGAAAUCCCCCAGGAGGCCAGGGAGAAAGCAAGCAAGGAGGAGCAUGAAUCCAUAGCCCAAUGACGAGAGCAGUUGCCUGGAAAGAGGAAGUCCCAGGUUCUGGUCUGCUUUGAGGAUUGCUUAUGGGUUCAUCUAAUGAGUCUAUAAUGCAAAGAGCACAUCGAACCAACAUCUCCGACCAAUCUGGGUUGCGGGUGUCAGUAUUUAUGAGACCAGUAUUCGAUGAAACGAAAUGACUGUGUUCAUCUAAUGCUGGAGAAGAUCCUGAUGGAUUCAGGAGCCUACUUCAAGUCUCCUUGAGAUGCUCUGUUGAUCUCCAUCUGAGAAGGAUCAGACAUGGGCCUUGCAGUAAUUGCAUAACACCUAUUGUCUUUAUCAUGAUGAGGGACUGAACCCCAAACUUUUACAAUUAAGAACAUAAGGCUCUACCUCUUGAGCUAAAGAACGGUUACCCCCUGUCUGCAAGCUAUAGUGUAACCGUAUCCUCUGUGGAUGAAGCACAGAGGUUGAUGUGAAGCACACAUUGGGGAGUGGAUUACAGCUACGUAUGCACGAGGUGCACAUGAUACAUGGAAAACUUUUCUCUAGGAUAGUGGUCUCCAACCUUUUUAAGCACAAGAUCAUUUUUUGAAUUAACGUGCAACCCAGGAUCUACCUCAAAGAAAACGUAGAAAUAACAGUUUAUAUUUAUAUUUAUGCUAUAUAAGGCUGAGAUCAAGUGCUUAAUAUACAUAAUUAUACAUUUUCCCUACUUACCAAGUCUUAGUGUGACACUGUGACAACUGGAGCCUAGGCGGCUCGUUCAGAGAUGUGGGGGGCUCCCACCACUGUGCUCAUGCCAGAGGAGGCCCCAGGGGCAUGUUCCCCCUGAUCUGUGCAUGGGGUGGAGGUGGUUGCUGCUGCGUGCUGGGCUUUGCACCCUGCUGCAGCUGCCCCAGUGCCUGCCAUCACUGGGCUGCACCGUGACCCCUGCUCGCCUGGCAGCUGGACCACGUGGAGUCGCGCAGGUCUGGAGGCAGUGGCAGCUGCACCUGGGUGCAAAGUGCACCGCACAGUGGCAGCUGCCUCCACCCCGUGCACAGAUUGGGGGGCAUAUGUGCACCCCCUGGGACCUCUGCUGGGGUGUGCACCGUGGUGGGAGUCACCCUGCACCCCUGGACGAGCCACCCGGGCUCCAAUUGUCCCACCACCCGGCCUGGCUCCAAUCACCCCAGCCCCUGCUCCUGCCCUGCUCCCUCCCUCACCAUAUGGCCUCAAUCUGCCCCCCCAUCUCUUUCCCCUCACCCCCUUCCCCAAAGACUUACCUGCUGGGAGGGGACUGGGGGCAGAGCAUGUGCGUGCACAUAUGCACACAUGCUCAGCCCCUCCAAAUAAUUUUUUCUCCCUCUGCCUAUGGAUACGGGGGACUGAGACUGAGAUGGACUGUCAGAGGCUCCACGAUUGACCAGUUGAUCGCGAUCCACUGAUUGGUGACUACUGCUGUAGGAGAUGGUUCAAGGAUUAAAGCCAUGCAGAGAGCUGGGGUUGGUAACAGUGGAAAGUCCCCAGAAGCAGGACAACAUUGUCAGAGACUUAAGAGGGUGAAACUCAGAAGAAGGACCCCUGGAGACAGAGGAGCCUUGGGCAGGAGAGAAGUGACUGGUUGCCCACUUCUUUGAGGAUGUAACUCCCUGCUUAGGACCUGUUUAGGACCUUUGGGCUCCAAGGAUGGUCUAAACCCAUUCAAUACCUUCUCAAAGAAGAGACGUACAACUCUCUGCCUCUACUCCCCUCCCUUCUUCCUUCCCUCCCAUUCCUCUUCUGUAACCCAGAGUCUUCUGUAUAAAUGCUGCUUCCUGCUAAGUAUAUGCUUGCUCAACUUUAAAGGGGUCAUAGCACCAAAAUUAGAUUGCUCCAGGGGGUGCUGAAAUCUUCUCAGUGCUGUUUAUUGCACUGUAAGUCUCCUCUAAUUGCAGACGGGUGAGAUUUCAGCUGAUGAGCACUGACUGAAAAGUGUGGCUAAAGAAUGCUGUUUUCUCAGGGGUGGAUCAACAGGGGGUCAGGGAAAGACAAUCCAGUGUCUCUCUCUUCCUUGGCCCAAUUUUUCAUGGGGAACAUCUACUUUUUAUGAUUGCUGACUCAGAAAUAAGGAAGUGGUGACUGGAUCUGAACUUUCCCAAAAUGUUUCUUGGAUCCAGGAUUCUGGAUUCAGGAUUCCAUUGUCACUUUUGGUUUAUCCGUGCUAUGCAUUUCCUUAGGGCAGAGGUAGGCAAGCCCCGGCACGGGUGCCAGAAUGUGGCAUAUGAAGGCAUUUUGCUUGGCACGUGUGCCUUGGGGUGGAUGGUAGGGAAAGGACCGGGGCUGCGUGGCCACAACAAGAAUCAGGUCCCUUGCAGCUCCUCCACCAUCUGCCCUGGCACAUCAGCAUCUUACAAAUCGAGGUUGUGGGUGUUUUUGACAUUCUGCCCCAAAACGUUGCCUACCCCUGACUUUGGGCAUGAGGCAGGGCCAGUAGUAAGCUACGACAAAGGGUACAGAAGUACCAUGUGAGAGGGUCCUAGAAGAGCUACCCCUACUGUACUUUUGCCCAGCUGUGUAUGUUCUAAUAGAUUUACAUUUUCCCCUGAAGCACCCAACGUUUAUGACUUUCAGAGCCACCCAGGGGACCAGGGGCCUGUUCCAACCUGACAAACCCUAUCAGUGUCUCAUUUCUACUUACUUACAUACUGAGAAGCCAUCCUCACUGCGUGGGGGAAUCGAGGACCUGGGUUCCUUGCUUCAUGCUUGGCAGUUCUGCCUUAUGGUAGGAACGAGAGUGACUUUUCUAUUUUUACAGGUAAAACACCCAAUACAUUUCUGCUUGGAAUGGCUAAAAACAUUGCCCACUUAUAUAGCGUGUCUAAAUUGCCCAGGCUUACCUUAAAUCAAAUCCUCCAUUCUCUUUAAACCAAGUCCUCCUGUUACGAUAAUUAUCUGUGAAGCUUGCUGUCCAGAAUCUGGCCUAGGAGAAAUCCACCCCAUACCAAAUCGUGUACAGACGUCCUUCAGUGGCAAAGCCAGCCCUUUCUCAACUCUACACACAGUUGCAAAGAAGUUGCUUUGUUAUAUUUUAUGAGAAUUCCCAGCUCUUGAGAUGACAUUUCCAGUGGUAUUAACACUCCUGGAAACUGAAGCUAAUCAAAUUAUCAGAAUCUUAACCAUAUAACAUAAUGGCUUCUCUUGGGUAAAGACAUUUGCAGUAUCAAAUGCCACAGGUGCAUAAAUAAAGUAUUAUCAGAAAUAUGUUGAGGGCUGGCCGUGGGAGCUGAGGGUGUGUGUGUGUGUGUGUGUGUGUGUGUGUGUGUGCGCGUGCACGCGUGUGCGUAUAUUUAAAAGAGAUUUGCUCUCAGAAUUGUUCACUAAAUACUUGCUGAAAACUGUCCUGAUUUGAAUCCUGCCUGUACUCAUAUAGUCACUGCACUGUAGCAUGUUUGGGGGACUCGUAAAGAAUUAAUAACCCAACAGUCCAUAGAGUUACAUCGGUGUAAUAGUAGGUGCUAAGUGAGAUGAGAAUCUGGCCCAACUUGCUGAAUUUCUUGCUGUCUUGCAGCACACAUGGUAGUCUUAUUUGACCUUAUAGAAGUCUAUUUGAGGGAAUUUCUCUGUAAAUAUUUAAUCUAAAAUCCCAUGUUGAUUCAACACUCUACCCAUUUUUGAGCAUAAGCCAAUCAGUUUUCUUCCUUCUGUUUUCAGAGUCCAGAUACUCUAACUUGGCGGAUUUUUGAGAGGGUUCCCAAGUAGUCAUUUGGUCUCUGUUCAAAAUACUUGUCUACUGUGCUAUGUAACAGAGCAGCUUCCAGACAUAUAGUCUAGUCCAGCGGCUUCCUUGGCCCAACAGAAGUCCCUCAUUUUUUUUUUUCUUUCCGUUUUCAUUGUUAUUUCUGCGUUUUAUUAUUAUUACAACAUUGCUAGGCUGAGAAACCUGGAGAAGACACAGGAAAUCGUGAAUUAUUGCUUAUGUCGUAAUAUGGAAUAGUGGAGAACUGCAGCAAUCAUGGAGUGAAUAAAGACCGUGCUGAUUGGAACAGGAUGAAAAUUCUCCGCUGGAUUCAAGUAUUGCAUGGAGAUGGAGGAUGGCAAAGAUCCUGAUACAAACCUGGACUUCACAACGCUGUCAGAAGAAAGCUCAGUCAAAUAGUGAUUGACAGAGAAAUAAGAACAGGAGGUUUUAAAGAACGAAAUCCUGGGCUCUCUACAGCAGUGUGAGAUGACGAUUCCCGACUUUGGGAAUCCAGAGUGCUAACUCCUGAAGGGGAUCAAACAUCGAGCAUUUGUGACCUCCCACCAGCUUCAGCAGCCCAGUGUCUGAACAGGAAAGUGGAACGCACAACCGUCGGAAAACGAGACAGAUCAGAUUAAUUUCAUUGCUUGUGAUGAGUAAAAGGUUGAAAGAAACCCCUCCCCCCCCCCAAAGACCCCCAAACCUCCAAACCAGUCAACAGAUAAUUUUACCUGGUAGUAUUUUUAUUUUUUUUCAUUAGGUUUUUAGAUGGCCUGCAAAAUUUCAGGCUGAUUGAUUUCCUGAGGCAAAAACAGACAAACAAACCCCAAAAAUAAUCACACAAAUCAGGUAAUUGGCUAAUCUGCUAUUUGUUUGAAUGCUGAAUUGCUCAACUGAGCUUUUAAAUGUGCUUGUUAGUGCAAGUAAAUGGAUGUACUCCCAAUAUCUGCAGAUGUUUGUAUGAAUUUAAAUGUUGCCUCUUUUGUUGGUUAUCAGCGUGUUAUUAAUAGCACUGGUAAGUAAUUAAAUAUUGAUAUAUAUCAUUUUUAUUUUGACACUGCCCUUUGAAAUGCUAAGUGAUUGUUGAGGUUAAACAACUGUACGGCAGAAACUGUAUCUAUUAUGCACGUGUCAGAUCUCAACAGAAGUGCUUUUAAUAACAGUUUGUUAUUUGAUUCACAAAGAAUUGCAAAUAGAUGAAGUUUCUAGAAACGAGUCCUUAUUUUUAUGGUUCCUGAUCAUUUUAAUAUAUCUGACAGUGCUGCAAUAAAGAUGUCCGUUAGCUACGUGCAGAAGAGCUCAAGCACCUGAAAACAAAGCAAGACUCUUCAUCUUAGAUUUAAAAAGGAAGCAUCAGGAAGAUCCCUGGACAUCAGUGAAUGGGAAGUUAUUUGUAUUUAAAGGACAGGGCCGUACAUUACUAGAGCUUUUUUAGAUCUCUACACUCUUUACAAACCUUUGCGACUGGAAUGACCUCUAACAUCUUGUAAUCAGGUUUAUUCAGGGGUGGAACACGGCAGCUGUUUAGCGAUACACGCUUCUAUUACAGGUUAGGAAAGGAUGGGAAGAAGACUUCUGUACCCACCUGAAAUUGCAGGGGAAUGUCAUUGUGACAGGUGGAGUGUAAUUACCUUGCUUGGAGCUAGGCCAGGACAAAUUGCAAGGAAGGUGAAGUUUGCUGCAUGUGCUCCUUCUGGAUGUUGGAGAGACCAGCAUGACAGUUGUGAAACUCCUGGCAGUGCUUUAGAAGUGCAAAAAAUUAUCGGAUGUUAAAUAAAACAUCAGGCAAUUGUUGGGAAACAUGCCUUUAUUAAGAUAUAACAGUCAAUUGCAUAGUUGUUAAAAGAGCUAUAACUAUGUAUUAAAUAAUCAGUUCAGCUGGUAUUUAUUUAAUAUAAUCGCAGCCUAUUAAACUGAAUUAAGUACAGUGUUAAGCAUUGCUGGGACAGACAGUUAAAAAUGUUGCCAGGAAUGUCUUACGUUGCCUCAAACCUUUUGUCAAAAACUUUCACAGAAAAUCUCUGAAAAAUUGUCCCUCAUUUAAUGAGGGAAGCACCAUCUGGUUCAGGUCAAGUAAAAAAAAAAAGCAGCUUCACCCUAACCCAAAGCUCAACCCAAAGUACACCAUUUUUUUUUAAUCCAAAAAUGUGUCUCACUAUUUGAAAACAUUCCUUUUUAAGAAUUUUGUGUAAUAUUUUUUAACCCUUUAUACUUCCCCAGAUCUCUGUUGCCUUGCAAUCUGUGCAGUCAUUUUUACCA